ensembl:lncRNA
GCGCGCAGCCGGUGCGCGGUUCCCAGGCCCCGCGGUGCACUGGCGCGGCGCGGCCCAGAGGGGCUCGGCGCUCCUCCUGAGGGGAGGGGGCUGCGAGCGGCGCGGCGCCCGCGACCUCAGGCGGGGGCCAGCCUACCUGCACCCGCGGUGCGGGAACGCUGUCUCCGUCCUCCUUGGGAUUCGUUUUCGCCCCUCUGGCAGCGAUAAGUUAAAAAUCCCGAAAUCUGUUGCAGUGAUGUCGUAAUUGGCGUCUUACUGGGUUCUCAGCGACAGUUGCCGAAAAUUCUUACUGAGCAAGACAUAAUCUUUUUUUAAUUCCUACAAUUUGAGAAAUGUGAUUCUUAACUGGGGAAAUUGACGCGUCGUGGGGCCCGCACGUUGAGCCAACCAAACGUUGGCCCCGGCAGUGGUGUGCCAUCUGCUUUGCCCUGGCUGCCUCGGCCUUACCGGGCUGGUCACGGCUAAAGGUCACCGUAUUGAGGAAGUCCUGAACUUCAUUUGUUGAUUGAAGAUGAUGUUGAAGGCGAUGAGAGGAACAAGGGGGCUCUUUGGCUUCUUCAGAAACGUAAGGCCUAGAAUAAUAUCAGCAGGUCUCCGCCUUUGAGCAGAUGAGCGUGGGCUGUGCGCAGGGCAGGGGACUCCUUAUCUCGUAUCAUUGGGAAGAUGGUAGCAAGGCCUUGAGGAACAUCGCUGGCUCCCUAAUUCUCCCUUCCCCUUAAAAGGAAUUACUCUGCUUAAUGUAGACAAACUGAACAUUUUGAAACUUGCUCCUGGUGGGCACCGUUUCGAAUUUGCUUUCAGCAAGUGAGAUGAUCUGUAUGGCACCUCUUUCAAGAGUAACUACAACCUUCCCAUGCACGAGAUGCUCAACACAGACCUUGGGAGAAUUCUUAAAAGUCCCAGAGCACCAAGCAAGGAGAGUUAUCGCAGGGUCCUGAAAAAGAAUCCACUGAGAAGCCUGAGAAUUAUGUUGAAUCUAACUAAACCCACGUGCAAAGGCCAUGCACCUGGGCAGGCUAAGAAUCAAACCUCCAGGAGGAUAGGGCAGCAGUGGAUCUAGAAGCCAGAUCAGAUGGGGAGGGGUUCCAGGCAAGAAGCCUUUAGUAGGGAAGAAAGGAAAGGAGGCUGUAUUUGUAAAGAAACUGAAGAAGUCUUUGGCGGGGCGGGGGGGGAGGUCGGCGGAGGCGUGGGGGUGGGGGAGGCUGCAGAAACCAAGAAACCGACCACUGGGAAGCCCCGCAGAAAACCCACCACGGAAGAGAAGAAUCCUGCUGCACAAACUUGUCUGUUUAUCCCCUGAAGGUCAACUCAUUUUGGACAGCUCAUUUUGAAUAAAGACCUGACCAAAGAGUCAGGGAGAAACACACACGCAUACACACCCUCGGAUCUGGCUCCGCGCCGCCCCCUGGCAGUGUCCCUGCCGGGCCUACACUCUCCGGAAUCGCGCCCCACCCCGCCCCACCCCCACGGCGCCGGGUCCCCGCCCCCCACCCCCCUCCACACACACACCUCCCAGGAGAGCCUGAGCGUCGCCGGCCGACGACACAGCUGCCGGGUCCUACGCAGGCACCUGCUCCAGGAUUGCCGCAUCGCUGGUUCACGGGAAGACGGCAGGAGGGGCGAACUCUACUGUGUGCCCACUCCCAGGGCUCCCCGGACGUCCCCGGCGGCCCUCUGCCCCCAGGAGCUGGAGUGGGGGGAUGCACUGAGAAACAUGCAAGAGGUCGGGCGAUGCCAGCGCGCAGGAAUGCUGCCAACAGAGCGUUCCGAGUCUGGAAGGGGGCUGGGAAAGGCGUGCGGUCCGGGAGCCCCAGCCCAGCCCCCGGGCCCGCCCACUCCGCCUCCAGGCCGCCCUCCACCCAGAGGAGAACUGCUCUUAGAUCCUGAUCUCGAUGGAGAGAAAAUGAACUUUUUUUACCCACCUUUUCUACUUUGUUAGGACAUGUUGAUCACCCAGGAAGCUUUACCUGAAACUAUCUUGAAACUGUAAUUUGCUCGACACUUGAAUUGGUUGCUAAAAGAUUAAAGGAUCUCUGAGGACUUUUGAAGCUAUAUUGGAGUUGACUGUGCCUAAAGGUGCUGGGGAUAAACAUUCAGAGGACUAGGCCCUGCUCUUCAUCAUCUCUCCAUCUCACCUGUGCCCAUCCCCACACAUGGCAGAUAUUCUACUAGAGAUGUGGACACAGGAGCAGCCAUGGACGGACGCUUCCUGCAGGAGCCAAGGGAGAACAGACCCCCCCCCCCCUUCACACCAUAGUUCUUCUCACUCUUCACAGAACUGCUCGCGUUGUCAUUUUUCCCACUGUUCUAAGGGCCUUGAGGAAAAGAGCCACGCCCCCCUCAGCCUUUGGACUCCUAAGGCAGUGACUGCGUGAGUUGAUGGAUUGUCACCAAGG